GAUGAACGCUGGCGGCGUGCCUAAUACAUGCAAGUCGAGCGAACAGACGAGAGUGCUUGCACUCUCUGACGUUAGCGGCGGACGGGUGAGUAACACGUGGGUAACCUACCUAUAAGACUGGGAUAACUUCGGGAAACCGGAGCUAAUACCGGAUAAUAUUUAGCUUCGCAUGAAGCAAUAGUGAAAGACGGUUCUGCUGUCACUUAUAGAUGGACCCGCGGUGUAUUAGCUAGUUGGUGAGGUAACGGCUCACCAAGGCAACGAUACAUAGCCGACCUGAGGGGGGGAACGCCCAAAUGGGGAGUGGAAACCGGCCCAGACCCCCACGGGGGGCAGAAGGAGGGAAUCUGCCGCAAGGGACGAAAGUCUAACGGGACAAUCCCGGGGGGGGGAAGAAGGUUUUCGGAUCGUAAAACCUUUUUGUAAGGGAAAAAAAAGUACGUUAAUAACGGAACGUACCUUGAGGGGACCUUAACAGAAAGCCACGGCAAACCACGG
rnacentral:rRNA from 1 species